CUGCAGCCAAAUAAGCUCACCAGGCUCCUUUGCACAUGAGAAGCUGGUGUGCAGUGGCUGCAAAAAGCAAAUAGCCUCCUUGGUAGUGUACAUGGCUGUUGUUUAUAUAAUUGACCUAAAGGAUCUUGAAGACAGAG